rnacentral:rRNA from 1 species
UUCCGGUUGAUCCUGCCAGAGGCGACCGCUUUUGGAGUUCGAUUAAGCCAUGCGAGUAGAAAGAAAUUAGAUUCUUUGCAAACUGCUCAGUAACACGUGGAUAACCUGCCCUAUGCUCCGGAAUAACCUCGGGAAACUGAGAAUAAUACCGGAUAGAUCACAACGCCUGGAACGGUGUGUGGUUCAAAGGUCACGGCAUAGGAUGGGUCUGCGGCGUAUCAGGUCGUAGGGGGUGUAACGGACCUCCUAGCCAUCGACGCGUACGGGUGUUGGGAGACAUAGCCCGGAGAUGGAUUCUGAGACACGAAUCCAGACCCUACGGGGUGCAGCAGGCGCGAAAACUUCACACUGCAGGAAACUGUGAUGAGGGAACUCCAAGUGCGCGCACUUAGUGUGCGCUUUUCUUGACUAUUAAUCGGUCAUGGAAUAAGGGCUGGGAAAGACCGGUGCCAGCCGCCGCGGUAAUACCGGCAGCUCAAGUGGUCGUCGCUUUUAUUGGGCCUAAAACGUCCGUAGCCUGUUUGGUAAAUCUGUGGGUAAAUCAACCAGCUUAACUGGUUGAAUUCUGCAGAGACUGCCAGACUAGGGACCGGGAGAGGUGUGGGGUACUCUAGGGGUAGGGGUAAAAUCCUGUCAUCCUUAGAGGACCACCAGUUGCGAAGGCGCCACACUGGAACGGAUCCGACGGUCAGGGACGAAGCCUAGGGGCACGAACCGGAUUAGAUACCCGGGUAGUCCUAGGUGUAAACGCUGUGAACUUGGUG